CGCGCGACUCCACCUGCCUGUCGCGGCCCGCGGGCUGCGCUCCGGGGCUGCUGAGCGGCGGCCUUGACCACCUUGGUAUUGCAGGGAGGAAACGGAAGCUCAGACAACCCGCUGGGCUGCUCCGAGCUCCCGACUGGCUGCUGCGCGCUCCCGGUCUGCCGCUCCGCGGAGGCCGCGGAGGGCACAACAAAGGCCCCCCCCCCCGCGGGCAGCCGGCUCAGAGACCGACUACCGAAACCUCCCGGGCCAGGUUCUGGUUUUGCUUUGUUUGGUUUUGGUUUUCUGGCGUCCUUAAACUCUGAGAUUUCUCCGGAUUCCGGUUCGAGACCUCCCGGGCUAAGUAAGCUCCCUGCCCAAGGAAACGUAAUGAAGUGACCAAAAUUCCUGAAGGAGAGAGAAGAAUAGAGAAGAAAGCAACGAGGAGAGAUUUUUCCUCACUCUCAACCCUGAGGGAUGACAUCAACUCCUAAAUCCAAGAAGCUGCAGAAUGGACCCAGGAAAAACAAACAAGUGAAUCACAGCCCGAGACAAAUGAGUGGGGUGUGAACCAGGUGGAGGAGCAGCUGCAGUGGGCAGAGCCCCGUGAGGGAGGAGGUGCUGCUUAGAGAGAGCUGGUGACAGCAUGGGUAUCACUAAGCUUUGGCAGCUGCCAUCAUAACCUUCAUCCAGUGAAUGAUGGAAGCAAAGACAGAUACCCACAGCUAAACACUGAAC